CAUCUUGCAACUGAAAUGGCUACCAGCUCAGCAGAGAUGAAGAAAAGGGAAAACUGUAAAUGUCUGGGAAGGGCAGAGGAAUUGCACAUUUGCCUCCAGCCUGCUCGCUCAGCCCCUACCUCUGUCAGCGACUGGAAUGGCUUUUUCAGGUCCACCACGUGCAGGUUCCCGAUCAGAGGAAGAGGUCGUGGCCCAGGGGGCAAAUUGCAAACUGACUUCUUGGAGCUGGAGAGAAAGUAAAGGAGAGCAAACAGCCCUGCUGCCAAACAGAGCAGCGAGCUGGAGCCCAGGGUCAGAACUCAAGGACAGGAGCCAUGCUGGACUGCUGUCGCUGUGCCAGAUCACAGGACUCAGCUGGACUCUGGUGAUGCAAUGGAGGAAGCAGGACACGGGAGGGAAAGCCCACACAAUGCAUGGCCCAGGGUGCACCUGGCAAGCAAGCCCUCAGGGAGGACAGACUGACCAUGGCCAACUGGAAUGGUGGUUGCAUGAAGAUGUACUAAUUCAGGAUUGCUGACAGGAGCAGAUCUAUUUACAGGAACCUGAAUUAAAAGGGAGAAAAAUGGUUUACAACAGCCUGUGGCAGUGAUGGAGCAAGAGGCCUUAUGUAAGAGCUGGCGGCGUGCUCGGCUGGAAGGCUCUUAGAAGAGGCAGCGUGGUGAGAGAGAGAAAAUAAUGGAAGUCACGGAUGUUUCCCUGCCUGGAAAAUGAGUAAAGGUUCUUCUCUGAAGUGUUGCUCAAUUUGGUGCUUCCAAAAAGUAAUGGUGAGUGUGUAAUAACUCCUUCUGAGGAGAUGUUUGUCCAGCUGAUGGAUAAAUACCACCAGUGGAGUAAGUCUUCAGCACUACCUGACAACAUUGGAAAAGAACAAUUUUAAGUGUUACUUCAGUCCAUAAUUAAUGAUGAAAGGUCUGGUUCAAGCAAAGGAUUUUUAUUUCUUUUUCAGUCUAUCAAGUUGUGUGACUUGAAAGGGGAAGAGCAAGAUUUUCCCUAGUUUUGGAAAUCUCCUAAUUCAAGCAUUUUAAUUUUUGGCAAGGGCUCAGGACUCCAUACUAGAGAUACUGUGAAACACUACAAAUUAUCUGAUCUCUCUUGUUCAAUGGGCACCCUUUUGCUGAAGCAGCUAUUUCAGAUUUCCCUGAUGCAAAGUCUCUCCCUCCUUUGAAAGAUAAUAUGUGGAAAGCAUUUGAUUCUCUGUUUGUGGCACUGCUCUUUGUGGCUCUGUUUUUGUUGAGUUCUUUUGGAACUGGUUGGUUUAAUCCACGAAUGAAUUUUUUUCCUUCAUAAUGAUUAUCUAAUGGGGGUUUUAUUUGAUCUCCUUGGGAAAACUUUAUCCCAAGUUGCUGAAGCACGUGUAUUAGAUUGUAUGAGAACCUGUACCUUUACAGGAAAUUCUAGAAGGUACAACUGGCAUUUGCAAUAAAAACAUUAAGUAAUCCUAACCAAACACCUGCUACUA